rnacentral:lncRNA from 1 species
CAGCUUGAAGUCACAGCAGCCAGAGGAAAUUCUGCCACCAUUUUCCCAGGUCUGCAGCCCCUCCAGCUGGGAACCUGCUCCUGGAGCCAUCCCUCUGCAAACAGGUGUCCUCUCCCGGAGAAGCUAGCCACAACUCUCCCAGCACCGCCUCUGUGCUUUCUGUGCUCGCCCAUCGUGAAGCCAGCCUAUGCCUCCAGUCUCUUCUCUACCAGGAGGGAGCAGCUAAAAGCUGAGAUUUGUUGCAAUUUACUUUUGUCCCCCACCCAUGCCUUCACAGUGCCCGGCACUUAUUUGGUGUUUAAUAAACUGCCCAUUAAAUGC